rnacentral:lncRNA from 1 species
CUCCUGCAUUGGCAGGCAGAUUCUUUACCACUAGGGCCACCUGGGAAGCCAAAUUUAACCGUAUUUGGGAUCAUCUCCUAAGGGACUCCUGCCUCUUGAUUUCAGUUUCUUAAGUUGGGUUUGUGAUGCUGACUGUGCCGGGUUUGUAAAGCAGCCAGAUUCAGGCUUUUUGAAAUUUAUUUUACAUCUUGACCCAGCACACACAUCCAUGUGCACAUAAGCACAACAAAACAUUUCCUAAAGUAUCCUUUACCCUUUUACAAAGGAAGUACCCAUUGUUCCUCUCCCUCCCCCAGCUAGUCAUGACCUACAGUCUUCGGUUAGAAAGACUGGGGGAUUCAACAGCAAGCGUGUCCAGGCUGCUGNNNNNNNNNNUUUUUUUUUUUUUUUUUUUAAAGUGGAAAAUUUCCACUGAAAGAUGUUUACUAGAAUAAAUCUUCAGUUUUUAACUGAUUUCAGAGAUUUCAGUAACUUAAGAAACUGAGUCAUUGACUUGAGGUUAUGAGAACAAAGCUGAGGUAUGAAGUAAUGACUGUUUUGUUCUUGAUCACUGAGGAAAAUACACAGGCAGUUAAUCUGUUUAUGUCUGUGAAUCAGAAUUACAGUCGAUUCUUGAACUGUGCAGGUCCACGGAUGCGUGGAUUUUUUUCAAUAAAUACAUAAUGUACAUCACGUUUUUAUUGGUUGUGGUUGAUCGAAUCUGCAGAUGUGGAACCCCUGAUGGGAAAACCAGAUGUAGAGGGGCGAGGGGCUCACUAUUCAGUUAUAUGCAGACUUUCGACUGCUUGGAAAUCGGCGCUCUUAAUCCCCCACUUUGUUCAAGAGUCAACUGUACUCACCCCCAAAAAAACACUAAAUCAGAAUUUGUUUGCUGUACAAACAGAGUUUUGUAGCAGAGAUUAGUAAACUGUUACAUCAAAACAACCGGGGCCCCAGCACCCAGUGCUUUGUGAGGAGAUGGAUCCUAUCUCUGCAUAUACCAGCUUACCUCAAGUCAAGAGCACAAAGUAUGGUCACCAGUGGAUAGUGGGUUUUUUUCCUGUUGAACUUGAUUUUUUAAUGUUAUUUAUUUUGGAAUACAUUGUUAAGGUAGAUGCCUCAUUUAUCUUUUACAUUUUUUCACAUUUGGGUAAUUUUAUUCUUGCGGUGGUGGUGAAUAUGGUCUUCCAUUUUCUAUAAACUAGUAGCUGGAUCUAGAAGUCUGAUUAAACUCAGGCUAAAUAGUUCAGGCAGGGACUCUUCAUUGGUGGUGCUGUGGGUUCUCAAAUAUAUCUUGUUAGCGGGGACGCAUAAUGCUAGGCAGUCUUGGUCAUGCAGGGAGGAGGCCCACCUCUCCAACCUGUUCUCCUGCCCAGUGCCAUUUGUGAGCAAGAGAAGAAAUAGCUACUAUA